GCGGGACCGUGCCCUGUUGCACCGCCGUGUCCGUGCUCGCUUCCUGAGGCGCCUUCUCCUGAGGGCGGCUCGCAGCCCUCACACAGAAUGUUCCGAAAAGGCCAGGCAGCAGCGCCCUGCUCACAAAGCUGGCCUCCUCUGGGGUUUCUGACAUUAUCUGAAGUUCAGAAAUGAACAAAUUGUGGCUUCAGAUGUCCUCAUCAGAAGACAUUAAAGGCUAAAGGUCACUGGGUGUACAGGAAAUUUAAAGCAGCCACUUUAACCUCUGGAUCUUUAGUCUUUACUGAAGUCAGAAUAAUGGCACUUUAAAGGCUAAUCUGUCCAAAGUCUGAGCAGGUUAUUUAAAAUUUCAACCACUUCUAACAGAAUGGUCAUUCCUGCACCACUGAUAGAAACAUCUGGAUUUUAUUCCGGAAGCAUUUUACAGUUCUGCUGCUAAAACACUUUUUCUUACCGGAAACGAGUCUGUGAAGGUUUAAUUUUGUUCACCUGCAAAAUUCCAUUGGUAUGACCUUUCCAUUGAAAUGCACAUGCAGCAGCCCUCAGCCUGAGAGGAGCUGACAUGGAAAUAAAUCACAGAGAGAAGUGAGUACAUCACUGCCACAUUGGCGGACACUUUGAGACCUGCUGAGAACUGUGCUCUUUCAAAGCAAAAAAUAGAGAACGCAGACAAAAUCAAAGCCAAAUGGGAAGAGUUAUAACUUCAGAAUAAAUCAGGAGCAUACAAAUACAUGUUCUGAAGGAGUCCCCUACUCUUUUCCAGAAGAAACUUGCACAGUAACUA